rnacentral:rRNA from 2 species
GUGUAUCGGAAGGUGUACCUAGGAGUAAUAUA